GCGCUUUCUAUGACGUCACCGCGGCUGCGCCGGAAGCGGCGUGGGAGGACAGAGGGAGGGUGUUGGUGCUCCUGGUGUGGAACUCUGGGCUUGGCCAGGUCGGAGCAGCUGCCCUGGCCUGGAGCCCAUGGUCCCUGUGGAUCCCAGAGGAUUCCAGAGCUGGGGAGAACCCAACACAACACUGCUGACCUCCCGUGCACCCACAGAGUUGGAGUCUGCAGCCUCCCCAAACUCCAGG